rnacentral:lncRNA from 1 species
AUGUCCCCACGGCAGUGCCCUCAUGGCAGUGUCCCCAUGGCAGUGUCCCCAGGAGUGUCACCACAGCAGUGUACCCACAGCAGUGUCCUCAUGGUGGUGUCCCUAGCAGUGUCCCCAUGGCAGUGUUCCCAUGACAGUGUCCCCAGCAGUGUUCCCAUGGCAGUGUCCCCAGGAGUGUCACCACAGCAGUGUACCCAUGGCAAUGUCCCCACAGCAGUGUGCCCAUGGCAGUCUCCCCAGCAGUGUCCCCACAGCAGUGUCCCCAUGACAGUCUCCCCAGCAGUGUCCCCAGCACCGUGUCCCCAGCACCGCGGUGCUGAUGCUGCUGAGCUUCGCAUACCCCCUCGGGUUGGGGACAUGGGGACAGAGGCUGCUGCCCGCUUUGUGCAGCCUGGAGCCCGGGUGGCUGUGGCUCCCGUGGUGUCCCCAACAUUGUCCCUGUCCCCGUGGUGUCCCCACUCUGUCCCUGUCCCCGCGGUGUCUCUGGCUUGGGGCCUGUUCCCGGCUGCUGCCACAGGGAGGUGCCGGAGCCCCGCGCACGGAGGGACACCGGGGGUGCACAGCUGGACACUGCACACAGCUGGACACUGGGCAUGCAGCUGGACACUGCACACAGCUGGACACUGCACACACAGCUGGACACUGCACACACACAGCUGGACACUGCACACACACAGCUGGACACUGUGCACACAGCCGGACACUGCACACAGCUGGACACUGGGCAUGCAGCUGGACACUGGGCACAUACAGCUGGACACUGCGCACCCACAGCUGGACACUGCACACACAGCUGGACACUGUGCACACAGCCGGACUCUGCACACACCUGGACAUUCCACAUGCACACCUGGACACCACGCACACCCUGCACAUUGCAUAAACACACCUGGACACUGCACACACACACACACACCUGGACACCCCAAACUCUCACCUGGACACCCCCAACUCUCACCUGGACACCCCUCAUGCACAGCCACACCUCACUCCAACCCCCCCCCAGAAGGGGCUCUGACCCUUUCUAGAUAA